ensembl:snRNA U2 U2 spliceosomal RNA
AUCGCUUCUCGGCCUUUUGGCUAAGAUCAAGUGUAAUAUUUACUGGGCAUGUACAAUGUGUUAAACACUGGUAGGUAUCGGAGAUCCAAGCAUUAAAAAGAAACAUUUUGUGAUUAAAUUAAGAAAGUCUGGCUAAGGUAGUUCAGGCAUAAACUUUCUACAAAGA